AUACACUCUUCAAUUUUUCUUUUACUACACAAUUGCUGUGACCUUUUUAUGGAACCAUAAGUCUCCCGCCCAUUCCUUACAUUGCUUGUGAGUUGGCUAUACAAGGUUUUUUUGGCUUUUUUUAUUUAUCCAUGAGGAAUUAUUUGGUUCUUUUAAUUAUUUGGGUUUUAUGAUAGGCAAAACGGCGCAUCACUUUCUCUUCUGCUGUAAAUUAGCCUAAGCUUCUGUUUAUUCCCCUUUUCCUAAACUGAACCGAUCCUGCUACUCGGUAAAAAGGUGGUUCGUUGAUCCACUCCUUAACUGUUUGUGUUGGCUUCCUAUUUUUCAUGAGUAAAAUAUGGUUCUGGAGAACAUCAGCCGAAACAUAGUGUUUUUGCAGGCUGGUCUGAUGGGCCUCCACAGUGAGGAUGUCAAUUAUCCUAAGAAGAGAUGCAUGAUGUUGUUUGUUUAGGUCGGGUUUCCAUCUGCUACUGUCAUUGUUUUCUCGCGUUUCUUCCUCUUUGGCAGGGCGAUGUGGCCAUUGUAUCUACAAGUUGAGAAUCUUCUUCCACCGACCAGAAAGAAAGGAAAGUACUUCCAUGCAUGUUUAGUGAUUCGGGACUAUCUAUGGAAGGUCCCGAUCCAUCUUGGUGCUGCUGCAUGCUCCUUCCGAUCCAGUCCUCUUUUCCUUUGUAUGUGAAUUAUGCAUAUGCUCAUGUCGAAAUGGUGAUGUGUAAUACACUAUUGAAUUGAAUUGAAGUAAACCUUUUUUUAUCUGCAAAACAAAAUCCACAAGGUGCCUUGGUAGGCUCA